UGGGGAAUAUUGGGCAAUGGGCGAAAGCCUGACCCAGCCACGCCGCGUGGGUGAUGAAGGGCUUCGGGUUGUAAAGCCCUUUCGUGCGGAACGAACAGUCUCGCGACUAAUACUCGCGGGAUUUGACGGUACCGCAGGAAGAAGCACCGGCUAACUCCGUGCCAGCAGCCGCGGUAAUACGGAGGGUGCAAGCGUUGUUCGGAAUUACUGGGCGUAAAGGGCGCGCAGGCGGUUGUGCAAGUCAGUUGUGAAAUCCCCCGGCUUAACCGGGAAACUGCAUCUGAAACUGCAUGACUAGAGUACAGAAGAGGGAAACGGAAUUCCCGGUGUAGAGGUGAAAUUCGUAGAUAUCGGGAGGAACACCAGUGGCGAAGGCGGUUUCCUGGUCUGAUACUGACGCUGAGGCGCGAAAGCGUGGGGAGCAAACAG
rnacentral:rRNA from 1 species